UUUGAAAUGGAUUUUUUUGUUUUGGCAAGAGCAUGAGAGCUUUUACUGGGCAAGAAGACAAGAGAUGGAGAGUCCAGCCGGGCCUGCGCUUAAGUGCGCGGUCUUGCUAGGCUUGUAAGUUUCUUUCUUGCUAUUCCAAACGGUGAGAGAUUUCUGUGCUUUUGUUAUAGGACAAUUAAAACCGUUUCAAUACAACACACUGUGGAGUUUUCAUAUCUUUGCAACUUUUUCUUUGGGCAUUCGAGCAAUCGGGGCCCAGAGGUAACAAACACAAACAAUUUUAUCUAUUCAUUAAAUUUUUGUCAAAAACAAGAAUUUUCGUAACUGGAAAUUUUAAAAUAUUAAAAACUUUCAACAACGGAUCUCUUGGUUCUCGCAUCGAUGAAGAACGCAGCGAAAUGCGAUACGUAAUGUGAAUUGCAGAAUUCCGUGAAUCAUCGAAUCUUUGAACGCACAUUGCGCCCCUUGGUAUUCCAGGGGGCAUGCCUGUUUGAGCGUCAUUUCCUUCUCAAACAUUCUGUUUGGUAGUGAGUGAUACUCUUUGGAGUUAACUUGAAAUUGCUGGCCUUUUCAUUGGAUGUUUUUUUUCCAAAGAGAGGUUUCUCUGCGUGCUUGAGGUAUAAUGCAAGUACGGUCGUUUUAGGUUUUACCAACUGCGGCUAAUCUUUUUUUAUACUGAGCGUAUUGGAACGUUAUCGAUAAGAAGAGAGCGUCUAGGCGAACAAUGUUCUUAAAGUUUGACCUCAAAUCAGUAGGAGUACCCGCUGAACUUAAGCAUAUCAAUAAGCGGAGGA
rnacentral:rRNA from 1 species